rnacentral:rRNA from 1 species
AACGAACGCUGGCGGCAUGCCUAACACAUGCAAGUCGAACGAAGCCUUCGGGCUUAGUGGCGCACGGGUGCGUAACGCGUGGGAAUCUGCCUCUUGCUUCGGAAUAACAGUUAGAGAUGACUGCUAAUACCGGAUGAUGUCUUCGGACCAAAGAUUUAUCGGCAAGAGAUGAGCCCGCGUAGGAUUAGGUAGUUGGUGGGGUAAAGGCCUACCAAGCCGACGAUCCUUAGCUGGUCUGAGAGGAUGAUCAGCCACACUGGGACUGAGACACGGCCCAGACUCCUACGGGAGGCAGCAGUGGGGAAUAUUGGACAAUGGGCGCAAGCCUGAUCCAGCAAUGCCGCGUGAGUGAUGGAGGCCUUCGGGUCGUAAAGCUCUUUUACCAGGGAUGAUAAUGACAGUACCUGGAGAAUAAGCUCCGGCUAACUCCGUGCCAGCCGCCGCCGUAACAC